UGAAGAAGAGGAACAUGACAGAGAAUUGGAGGAAGAAGAAGAAGAUGAAGAAGGGGAUGUUUAUGAGGCCGUAGAGGAAGAAGAAGUUUAUGAAGAAGAGGAGAGGAAUGAUGGGGCGGUUAAAGUCAAAGGAAUAGAGGGUAAUGAUGCAUGAGGAGUACGGAGGGUGCAGUGGAAGUGAGUAAAGGGAAUAAUGAUAAUGGCAAUGGUGCUAAAAGAAUGAUGCAGCAGAGGAGGGAAUGGAGGAAGAGAAGAAGGAGAGUAAUGAGCCUUUUGCACAGCAACUGGGGCUUUUUAUAUGGGACAAUGUUGCAGGUCGACACAGGUAUUAUUUGAUUUGAGUGACAAUUUAUAAAUAGCUAAUAGCUGUACUUUCAUUAGGGCUUGUCAAUUAAUCCAGUCUUGUUUUUUGGUGCUGUAUAAUGAUUGUUUGCUGGAAUCUGUGUAGAAGGCUUUUGGCCUAGUAGGUUGAAAGGAGGGAAAGUUCUCAAAUAAACAUCUGUGCUUUGCGGAAUAUAAUUAAUAGGUACAAAGCAUACUAAAUUACUUGACUGAUAGAUGCCGAGCUAAUCAUGAGCUAUGAUAGCAUUAUCCGUGCUUUGUGUAUUUUUAACAGGGCUUGUCUAUUUCAAAGUGUGUAGUGUAGAAUUUUUGGGUUUAGUUUGAGUGAUGAAGUGUUAGAUAGGUUUCUGUUUGGCAUAGUUAAGUGGUUAAUACGAGCUAUUGAAGCAAAUAUGGAGUAGGAUAUCUAGUUUUGGGUUUGGUCUUAGUUUGAAGAUGGCUACUGAUUAUGCAGCUAGGUACGUAUUAGUGUUUGUGGAUUGCUAAAUGCUUUCUGUCAAAUGUGACUAGAUUAUUACUUGAAGUGCAUGGAUCUUACACUUAAUUAAUUAUAUAUCCAUUUGUAAUGUUCAAAAUGAUCAUGUACUAUUGCUUAAAAUUAUGUUUUCAAGACAUCAUUUUGAAUCCAUGGUUGUAAUGUGUCUCUAAAUUCAGUAAUACAAGUUCUGUCAAUUGCUGUCGGAUGCAGUGACUUGAAUAGUUUAAUAUUCAUUUGCAGAAAAAAUUUGAGAAAGAAAACUAAAAAUUUCUGUGCGUUCUGCUGGAAAUUUAAUUAGCUUCAUUUGAGCAUUAAUUGCUGGCAUUAUCUCUUAGAUUUCUCUUGCAUUGAAUGAAUGGAUGAGUGCUAAUCCAUGCAAAGACUUCCAUGCAUACACAAUGAAUGCUUCAUCAAAGGUAUGGUAAAAUGUCAACACGCUUUGCCCAAAUUAUCAAGCUGGUGUGGUGGCUGCUAGAUUUGUUCAUCCGGAUUUUGGACCAUUUUCAUUGACAAUGAGAAAAGCUGCAAGAUCUGUAAAUCGGAAACUCAUUAAAGUGCCAAAAGAGAGAUGGAAUUGAAUAACUAGAGAGUUAGUGAAAAGAGGGUGCAGUGAUUGUGUGGGAAGCUUUGGGUAUACUUGGGGUUUGGAUGUGAGAUAAAAUAAUUUGAGAGAGAGGUUGUAUCAAUUUUUUGGUAAUAGAGUUUUUCAGGUAACUCUUGUGUUGUGUGAUUGGAGUAUUCUCUAUUGUAUUUUUUUAUUUGUUAUUUAUUUGACGUAUUGCUAGCGGAGAUCUUUGUCAAUUGUUUUAAACUCUAUUUCGAACAGAGCAUGAAGGGAUUCACUUAUCUGAUUAUGUCUUUUAUGCUUUAACUUCACUUGAUUUCAUCUUGUUUGUCACUUUUAAUAAAGUUGUAUAUGUUGGAGUAUUAG
rnacentral:lncRNA from 1 species